ACCCGCUGGAUUUAAGCAUAUCAGUAAGCGGAGGAAAAGAAACUAACAAGGAUUGCCUCAGUAGCGGCGAGUGAACAGGCAAAAGCUCAAAUUGGAAAUCCUAGGCAUAGAGCCAUGGAAUUGUAAUCUAGAGUAGAGUUCGAAAGUCACGGGCUUUGCAUAAGUUCCUUGGAAAAGGACGACAUAGAGGGUGAAAUCCCCGUAGUCGGCAUGGCAUCGGAUGUACGAACUCUAUCAAAGAGUCGGGUUGUUUGGGAAUGCAGCCCUAAAUGGGAGGUAUACUUCUUCUAAAGCUAAAUAUUUAUGGGAGACCGAUAGCGAACAAGUACUGUGAAGGAAAGGUGAAAAGAACUUUGAAAAGAGGGUUAAAAGACUUGAAAUCGUUGAAAAGGAAGCGGUAGAAGAGUAAUUAUUUGUCUGCAAUGUUGGUUCGUAAGUACCGGUCGCCGUCUUGUGGAGUACUUAAUCGGGCUUGCAAGACGGCCGAUAACGGGACUUUGGAUCUUAUUUGCAGACAAAAGGCAAAAUGAGGAUUGACUGCAGGAAUCACUUAAUUAGAAGCACCUGAUCUUCGGAAAGGGAACUAGUUAGGGAAACUGCAGACGAUCCUGAGGGGCCCACGGGCGAUUUUGUCAAAAUGGCUUCUACCGGCCCGUCUUGAAACACGGACCAAGGAGUCUACCCAGUAUGCGAGUGUUAGGGUGGAAAAACCCGAACGCAUAAGGAAACUGAGUAUAAGAUGCCAAGCUGAAAGGCUGCAGCAUCGGCCGACCUUGACCCUCUGGGGAUGGGCUCGAGCAAGAGCAUAUUUGGUAGGACCCGAAAGAUGGUGAACUACGCUUGAGUAGGGUGAAGCCAGGGGAAACUCUGGUGGAAGCUCGAAGCGAUACUGACGUGCAAAUCGUUCGUCAAACUUGAGUGUAGGGGCGAAAGACUAAUCGAACCAUCUAGUAGCUGGUUCCCUCUGAAGUUUCUCUCAGGAUAGCAGGAACAAGUACGCAGUUUUAUUAGGUAAAGCGAAUGAUUAGAGGACUCGGGGCUCAAAGAGCCUUGACCUAUUCUCAAACUUUAAAUUGGUAAGAGCCGGUAGUUUACUUAAUUGAACUAUCGGGUAGAAUGCGUUGUUCUUAGUGGGCCAUUUUUGGUAAGCAGAACUGGCGAUGAGGGAUGAACCUAACGCUGAGAUAAAGUGCCUAAAUACGCGCUCAUCAGACACCAGAAAAGGUGUUGGUUCAUUUUGACAGCAGGACGGUUGCCCUGGUAGUCGGAAUCCGCUAAGGAGUGUGUAACAACUCACCUGCCGAAUGAACUAGCCCUGAAAAUGGAUGGCGCUGAAGCGCGUUACUGAUACUCAGCCAUUGUUGCAAAUAUGAGGCAGCAAUGAGUAAGAGGGCGUGAGCACUGUGUGGAAGCCUUUAGCGUGAGCUUGGGUGGAACAGUGCUUAGUGCAGAUCUUGGUAGUAGUAGCAAAUAUUCAAAUGAGAACUUUGAAGACCGAAGUGGGGAAGGGUUCCAUGAGAACAGCAAUUGGUCAUGGGUUACUCGAUCCUAAGACAUAGGGUAAGUCCUUGUAAUACAAGAACACCUCGGUGUUCGUUGUCAAAAGGGAAUGAGGUUAAUAUUCCUCAAGCGGGAUGUGGAUAAUAUGUGGCAACACAAAUGAACCCGGAGACAUUGGCAUGACCCCCUGGAAGAGUUAUCUUUUCUUUUUAACAUACUAUGGCCCUGAAAUUGGAUUAUCCAGAGCUAGGGCGGUAUGUAUGGCAGAGCAGCUCACUCUAAGAGCUGUCAGGUGCGUUCAUGACAAUCCUUGAAAAUCUGGGUAAGAGAUUUAUAUCACGCCCGAUCGUACCCAUAACCGCAUCAGGUCUCCAAGGUU
rnacentral:rRNA from 1 species